GUGCCAGCCGCCGCGGUAAUACGUAGGGGGCGAGCGUUAUCCGGAUUUACUGGGUGUAAAGCGCGUGCAGGCGGUUCGGAAAGUUGGAUGUGAAAGCUCCCGGCUUAACUGGGAGAGGGCGUUCAAAACUACCGGUCUUGAGUACCGCAGAGGGAAGUGGAAUUCCGGGUGUAGUGGUGAAAUGCGUAGAUAUCCGGAGGAACACCAGUGGCGAAAGCGGCUUCCUGGACUGGAACUGACGC
rnacentral:rRNA from 1 species